UGCAACGGGACGGAGUACUUCAGUAGAACUCUAAUCCCAACUCUAAAAUCUCGAUUAUUUCAACACUUAUGUCUCAACUAACCUCAACUCUAUCAUCUCAAACCUCUCAUUCCAAUAGGACUGGCUCCCAGAGAGCAAAGCUCGACCAGGGACCUUACCUCCAGUCCGGUCACUUAACUCUCAGCCUUAGCCUUUUGGCUCUCUUAUCCAAUAAGACUGGCGCCCCGAGAGCAAUGCUCGACCAGGGACCUUACCUCCAGUCUGGUCACUUAAAUAUCCAAAUAAGAAAUCUAGUAGCCAUUCGACUCUCUUAAUCCAAUAAGACUGGCGCCCCGAGAGCAAUGCUCGACCAGGGACCUUACCUCCAGUCUGGUCACUUAAAUUUCCAAAUAAGCCGGCGCCCCGAGAGCAAUGCUCGACCAGGGACCUUUACUCCGGCAACCACACUCUACUAAGCCCAGAGAGCGAUGCUCGACCAGGGCAGGUCCUAAUCUUUCUUUCUUAAAAUUUUUACCUCUUUACCCUUUUCUUAUCUCUCUCAUAUUAUAUUGGACACUCAUCCAACUCCUAUGUUCUACUGCCGUCCCAUCCUGAGUCAUCAUGCAAUAUUAAAAUUGGUAAUAAAGGAAAAACAUAUUUAAAUAGUAAUUAAAAGCAUCAUGCAAAUGAUAAUAAUAAUAAUUGAAUGAAAAAUUGAAAUUGCAAAUAAAUAUUCACACUAGCAAAACAAAUUUUAUGCAUGACACGUGCGUAAACGAUAUAUGACUUUAACUCACAGAAUUAGGCGACCUCCUAGCUCAGCUCCGGUGCCUCGGUAGGAGCGAGCCGAACAGACAGAUCAUCUAAUCACGGAAAACAAUUUAUCAAAACGAUGAAACAAUUACAAUAGAUCCUAGGUCUAGAUUCCUAGGACUGACUGUCUAAGAAUCUCGACUCGGGAGAAUUCUACCGAAAAUCCGGCAGAACCUCCCCUACAACACGAACAUUACCCCCCGUAAAAACGGGUCCAGGACCUGCCAGAAAAACACUCCAAAUACUUACAAUUAAAACAACGGGAGUCGGGUCCCCAAACUUCACUAUUUCCCGACUCCGCCACAUAGCACAAGACACAAGGCAGGCAACUGACAGACAAUUAUUUUUGACCCACAAAUACCAUCAAAUACACCAUAUAAACCAAAAGACACAAUUAAACUAAGAAUUUCUAAAAAUAACGGGCCAAAGAAAAUUACCAAGACGCUCGGUCGCUCGGUCGACUCGCCUCCAGCCGCCGGAGUCCGAUCGAUGAUCCGAACACACCAUCGGACUCACAACGACGCGCUGAUGACGAUCCCUGCUUCCGAUUUUCUGAUCUGACACCCGACCAUCCGGAGAGAUUUGCGAACGAUCACGGCCGUCGAUUCGCAAACGAAACCCGAUCGCCACGAAACUAGUGCCAUCGCGAAGCUUGAGCAGAGGAGAGUCGGGAUACAUCCUCCGAUUGUCCCUCCUCCGCCGGAUCUCGCCAGAAAAGCCAAAAACGCCGACUGCCACCAUUUUCUCUCUCCACCGUGAAUCUCCAAUUCCGGCCACCACUGUCGACACCGCUGCCGCCAAAACAAAGCCGAGGCCGAGAGGAGCCGAUCGCCACCCAACUCGGCCGCCAACAACGCCGGAAACGGCCGGAAACACGCCUGGAAGCCGCUGCCACACGCGCGAUUCCCGCCGCCGCUGGAGCUGCUGCUGCCGUCGCUGCUGCGCUCGCCAGCGCACGCCGCUCCGUCGGCCAACGCUCCACGCCUUCGACGGUCGCCGCCGACGCCUGCAACGUCCCCUUCUCUCUCUUCCCGACGCCGCACUCUCUCUCUCUCUCCUCCUUUCUUCUUCCCCGACUUCUUUUUCUUUCAAUAUCGACAUUAGGCCCCCGAACUUUUCCUUUAUUACAAUUUGGUCCCUCAACUUUCUUAAUUACUUACAAUUCCAUCCUGCAGAAUUCCAAUUUAACCCCCAAACUUCUUUUUAGCCUUACAAUUAAGCCCUUAACUAUUUAAUUUUGGGCCAAAUUAGAAUUACUGAAAAUACACAAUUACAAAAAUACCCCUGACCGACAUAUUUAUUUACGAAAAUACCAAACUCACAAAUUUCCAUUAAAGCCCCAUAAAAAUAAAAUUAUACUUUCAAUCCUUAUUCCAAAAUAAAUUUCCAAUUUAGUCCUAACACACAAUUAAAUUAAAUAAUCAAUUUUUCCAAAAUUCUUUUAUAAACACAUCCUUUACAAUUCUACCAUAAUUUUCCAAUAUAUAAUUUUACUUAUAUAAAUAUGCAUUUGGAAAAAUUUGAAUAACCAAAAUAUAAUCAUUUUAAAUUAAACCCAAUAAUAAUGAGGCUAAAAUUAACUUAAAUAAAAACUCAUUAUUAAAUAUAUAAAAAUUCCGGGUGUUACAUUCUCCCCCCCUUAAAAAAAAAAUUCGACCUCGAAUUUUAAAGAAAAGGGGCUACACUCUAAGACUGAAACUAAUUAGGAACCUCUCAUCUCCAACCCGGCUUCUCGGAAACUUUCCUCGGCAGAAACUAAACUAAACCACAAGACUCAUCGACAAAACCCUUAAACAAAACUGGCGAACCUGAAAAUCCGCGAUCCUCACUUACUACUCCUCGGAAACCAAAUCUUCACUUGCUUCCACACUCUAAGGGUCCAACACGAGCAAAGAUCGAAAAUACACUUCCUCAGCUCAAACUUACAAACAACUGGAUUUGACCUCAGAGAACAUUACUAAUACUUGGCGGCAAGUCCAACUUACAUGCCACCUCACCAACCUGCCGACAAAACCAAGGGUUUCCACACAAGAAGGGCCAAUUCUGAUCUUGCCAAAAAUCCACUCACCAAGUUUCCUUCCUAAUGACGCGCCCCUUGCACGUACAGAAAAAAAAAUCCUUAACAUCUACAUCACAUCAUCCUCGACAUAACAUCCAUCUGAUCGCAUCAACCGACACAACCAUGCCAUCCUGACACAAGAUUCCUCUUGACUGAAAUCCAAAAGCCUCCCUUAAUCUAACAUGGGGCCUACAGCUCCACAUACUCACUCUCUCAGCAACUCAACUCGUCAUCUAGAGAAUUCUCAAGCUAACACUAUUUACUUUGAAAAAUUUACUUAUUUAUUUACUUUAUAAUCAUCACUGAUAAAAAACUUUAUUAUCUUGGAAAAACACUUUUGUAAAAUCCUAAAAUCUCCAGCCAUUUCUCUUUAUAUAAAAUUCUACAAUAUCGCGCACCAGGGUGAUGAUGCCCCUAUCACCAAGGGUUGCAAUGCACAAAGUAUGAUGCAUGCCCUAAAAUGAAUUUAUGUAUGCCUAACAGUGAAAUGCCAUAUGCAUUCUUACGGGACUGGGCGCAAUAUUGUAUUUUAAAACACUUGUUCUACUUAAAAAAAAUAAACAAUGUUCGCUUAAGUUUCUCUGGAUUUCCGAGCGUCCGAAAAUACUCCUGCCACCUUUCUUAAGCUUCUUACAAUCACCAAAACUCAACCAUAGAGCUCUGACAUCUACUCGACUUCCCAGGCACUACUUUCGGCGCUACUCAAUAAGACGAUGCCUGAUGCGAUGACGAGGCAGCUCAUGACAUGACUGCAACCACGCUCUACACUAAAACAGACUGCGGUGCCCACCAUCGAAACAACAAUCAAAGCUUCUAAAGGCGGACUGCACUAAUCACUUGAAGAAACAGCACGAGUCUAUCGCGCUUCAGAUCUUCCCAACGCUACAAAGCUCAUUCUCAGCACAGCACCAAGGACAAGCUUACAAGAAAGGAAAGACUGACUCCCUAACAGAGAAGGCUGAGACACUAGAGUCAAUGAAAACAACAAGACAAACUUGAUCCUAACUCCGCAGUACCAGGAAAAAUCUUAACUUAGGUCGAAGGAAAUCUAAACCUAAGCUCUGAUACCAACUUUGUCACGACCCCACCCGUGGGCCCGUGACCGGCACUAGGGAAUGGGUAGGCUUAAGGCCACCGAAACCCGUAGUAAGCCUGACACUCACUGAUUUAAACAAAUCUCAACUCAAAUUUAUAUUAUUAAAACCAUAAAUUAUCUUAAUAGUUACACUUUACAAAACUACUUCGGUCUACCAGAAAAUACUAGGCGAGACCCGAAGCUCAGAAAAUUUACAACUGAUACAUCUACUAUUACUACUGCGGAGAAUCUAAGAUUUACCAUUUUACAUACCAAAUCAAAUACUUCACCCGAUGAUAAAGGAGUCGGGUUACUGAAUAAGAGUCGCGAGAGAACUAACAGUCACGAAUCUGAAAAACAAUAAAUGGAGACUGUCAGUCUCGAGAGUGAGUUAAAAUCAUAUAUCUAAAACAGUUUCAAAUAUCUCAAUGUCACAUUCAUUUAAUUUUAAAAUAAUUAAUAAAUCGUGCGAACCAUACGUGUCAUGCCAUGCUUAAACAAAAUUUAUUCCACAUGCAACGGGACGGAGUACUUCAGUAGAACUCUAAUCCCAACUCUAAAAUCUCGAUUAUUUCAACACUUAUGUCUCAACUAACCUCAACUCUAUCAUCUCAAACCUCUCAUUCCAAUAGGACUGGCUCCCAGAGAGCAAAGCUCGACCAGGGACCUUACCUCCAGUCCGGUCACUUAACUCUCAGCCUUAGCCUUUUGGCUCUCUUAUCCAAUAAGACUGGCGCCCCGAGAGCAAUGCUCGACCAGGGACCUUACCUCCAGUCUGGUCACUUAAAUAUCCAAAUAAGAAAUCUAGUAGCCAUUCGACUCUCUUAAUCCAAUAAGACUGGCGCCCCGAGAGCAAUGCUCGACCAGGGACCUUACCUCCAGUCUGGUCACUUAAAUUUCCAAAUAAGCCGGCGCCCCGAGAGCAAUGCUCGACCAGGGACCUUUACUCCGGCAACCACACUCUACUAAGCCCAGAGAGCGAUGCUCGACCAGGGCAGG
rnacentral:lncRNA from 1 species